AUGACAAGCAGCGCUACGCCGACAUGGCUGAGGUGCUCCUCGCCUCCUGCCCCUCCUCGGUCUCCUCCUCUGCGGCCUCCGCCGCCGCGCCCUCCGCCUGCUCCUCCUCCCUCAGCUCCCAAGCGUGUAAUUUGGGGAGUCCGCCGAUCCACCUUUACUCUAUCUCCCGCAGGGGUGGAGGAAGGGACCAAGGAGGGGGAGCUCAGGCGACGCUCGAGGAAGCUGCGCGGGAGAGCUCAGGCGCGGGAAGGGGAGCAGGGAGCUCCGGCACGGGGAGCCGAGCUGGGAAGCGAGCGGGGGAGACGAGCGGCGGGGCUGCGUCGUUUGUCGGGAAUUAGCUGA
rnacentral:rRNA from 1 species